rnacentral:tRNA from 1 species
GCCUGUCUGGUUCAUUCGGUGAAACAUAUGACUCUAGAUCUCAGGGUUGUGAGUUCGAGCCUCAUGCUGGGCA